rnacentral:rRNA from 1 species
CCAGACUCCUACGGGAGGCAGCAGUGGGGACUCUUGGGCAAUGGUCUCCCGCCUGACCCCGCACCGCCGCGUGCCGGCAGAAGGCUUUCGGGUUGUAAACUUCUUUUAUUGAGGACGCAACAAAUGACGGUACUCAAUGAAUAAGCCACGGCUAACUACGUGCCAGCAGCCGCGGUAAUACGUAGGUGGCAAGCGUUAUCCGGAUUUACUGGGUGUAAAGGGCGGGUAGGCGGGACUGCAAGUCAGAUGUGAAACCCAUGGGCUCAACCCAUGGCCUGCAGUUGAAACUGUAGUUCUUGAGGGAGGGAGAGGCAGGCGGAAUUCCGUGGGGAGCGGUGAAAGGCGGAGAUAUACGGAGGAACACCAGUGGCGAAGGCGGCCUGCGGGACAUUAACUGACGCUGAGGCGCGAAAGCGUGGGGAGCAAACAGGAUUAGAUACCCGCGUA